rnacentral:rRNA from 1 species
UUUAAAGAGAGUUUGAUCCUGGCUCAGGACGAACGCUGGCGGCGUGCCUAAUACAUGCAAGUCGAACGAACGGAGGAAGAGCUUGCUCUUCCAAAGUUAGUGGCGGACGGGUGAGUAACACGUGGGCAACCUGCCUGUAAGUUGGGGAUAACUCCGGGAAACCGGGGCUAAUACCGAAUGAUAAAGUGUGGCGCAUGCCAUGCUUUUGAAAGAUGGUUUCGGCUAUCGCUUACAGAUGGGCCCGCGGUGCAUUAGCUAGUUGGUAGGGUAAUGGCCUA